AUUGAACGCUGGCGGCAUGCUUUACACAUGCAAGUCGAACGGUAACAGGCCUUCGGGUGCUGACGAGUGGCGAACGGGUGAGUAAUGCAUCGGAACGUGCCCAGAGGUGGGGGAUAACGCAGCGAAAGCUGUGCUAAUACCGCAUGGGAUCUGAGGCUGACAGCGGGGGACCGGGCAGCAAUGUUUGGCCUCGCGCCUUUGGAGCGGCCGAUGUCAGAUUAGGUAGUUGGUGGGGUAAAGGCCUACCAAGCCGACGAUCUGUAGCUGGUCUGAGAGGACGACCAGCCACACCACGACUGCGCCACGGGCCACACUCCUACGGUAGGGAGCAGUCGGGACUCAUGGAGAACGGGGGCGAGAUGGUUUCCGCAAGGCCGCGUAACGGAAGAAGGCCUUCGGGUUGUAAACCGCUUUUGUACGGAACGAAAAGGCUCUGGCUAAUACCUGGGGCUGAUGACGGUACCGGAAGAAUAAGCACCGGCUAACUACGUG
rnacentral:rRNA from 1 species